UUGUUAUUGUCAUAAAUAGUCGAUCGAGACGUGUACAUCAGCGACUUUCAGAAGCCAGAAAUUAGUGAUGCAAAUCAAGCCAGAAAUAAUUUGAUAAGGCGAUAUUGUGCCGCGAGAUAGUCCAAUAGAGUGUAGUGAUGUCAGAGAGUAGCAAUUGAGGCCAAGUUAGGAAUCUCGAGUAGUGUGACCGAGUUGUCACCUAUUUUUCUAUCAGAGGCAAGUAUUCCUAUUCUUCUCUUUUAAUUAAAGAGCAAGUAUUUCAAUUCUCUUUUGAUAAUGUAAGUGCUAUCUAUCACUUGUAUUUCCUGCAAGUAUGACUAUCCAUUUCCGAUAUUUGAAAGUACAAAUGCUUUUAUAUUUAUCUUGUGAUUUAAAAUAUCGAAUAUUUUCAGUUCGAUACUUUUUACUGUUAUAUGAACAGCGACAAUUCUAUUUGAAAAGCAUUUUGAUUAUUUUAAUCAGUUUUCUGAAAGAUUAUUGUCUGAGUUCUUUUACAGUUUGGAACUAUUGAUGACUCUAUAGCAGUCAUAUUUCGAUACUACAAUAUAUGCCUGGUCUUCUGUCCCAGACAUAAACCCUGGAUUUCAAAUAACUAAAUAGCUUUGUUUUUCCUUUGAGCCGUAUUACGGUGGAUUUUUAAAUUGUACUCAGACUUUGAUAAAAUUUGAUUUUGACAGUUUUUUGAAAUUGAAAAUGAAAGAGUUUUCAAAAAAAGUUUUGAAAGAGAGGCGUAAGGGGCUAGUGAUUAGUCCAGCCAGAGAGACCAGCAAAAAUAUUUUGUUUUGAUUGGAUGUAUGCGUAAGAGGCCGGGACGGCGGUCCAGUGAAGGGCUAGGUAUUAUAUGAAAUAUGUAUAAUACCAUUUCUGCCAAAGGCCAAUGUGUUGCCUUCUAUUUGGUACCUAUUGUUUGGAUCUGCUUCUACGAAGCAUGAUUCGUCGCUAUCACAGGAUUUCCUGAUCAGCUGUGUUAGUGUGCCGUUAGUUGAGAUUCCAAUCCAAAAACUGGUCAUUAUUGUUUAAGCUUAUGAUAGCUUAUGUUUACUGUCAAAUAUAUCUUGUGAAUUUUCAAGCAUAUUGAUUUAUAUGUUUGAUAAACUUUUGAGUUACAAAUGUUAUGAUUUACUUCAAAAGUUUGCUCUAUUUCAAAUACUCUGAUUUAAUUUAAAAGAAUUUAUAUCUUGUGGCUCUUGCCUUUCCUAUUAUCUUGCUGAGCAUUUUUGCUCACUCUUGCUAUUGUUUCUAACCCUUUCAGCUAAGGAUUAAGACGAGUUGUAUAAGCUGCGCGUAAGAUUGAUGCUAGGCGAGAUUGCCAGGGAGAUGUUUACAAGAGUAGUUUUGGUUAGAGUUGAAUUAUUUCAGUUCAGUUGUAUAAUAGAUUUAUUUAUUUGGUUAUCAGUCACUCUUUUUAUCGAGGUUUAACUGAUAAUGUAGUUUAAGUUGUAAUAAAAUUUGAUAGCUUUGGUUUCUGAUUUCAGUGCUGUAACCUAUUAGCGAUCCUGUUUUUAG
rnacentral:lncRNA from 1 species